GACGAACGCUGGCGGCGUGCCUAAUACAUGCAAGUCGAACGCAGUGGGGACGGGUGAGUAACACGUGGGUAACCUCCCAUCAGAGGGGAUAACACUUGGAAACAGGUGCUAAACCGAUACUGAUGGAUGGACCCGCGGUGCAUUAGCUAGUUGGUGAGGUAACGGCUCACCAAGGCCACGAUCCAUAGCAGACCUGAGAGGAUGAUCGGCCACACUAGAACUGAGACAAGGCCCAAACUCCUACGGGAGGCAUCAGUAGGGAAUCUUAGGCAAGGGACGAAAGUCUGAUCGAGCAACUCCGCGUGAUAGAAGAAGGUUUUCGGAUUGUAAGACUCUGGUGUUAGAGAUGCGGUAUCUAACCAGAAAGCCACGGCUAACUACGUGCCAGCAGCCGCGGUAAUUC
rnacentral:rRNA from 1 species